AUACGUAUGUCGCAAGCGUUAUCCGGAUUUAUUGGGCGUAAAGCGCGUCUAGGCGGCUUAGUAAGUCUGAUGUGAAAAUGCGGGGCUCAACCCCGUAUUGCGUUGGAAACUGCUAAACUAGAGUACUGGAGAGGUAGGCGGAACUACAAGUGUAGAGGUGAAAUUCGUAGAUAUUUGUAGGAAUGCCGAUGGGGAAGCCAGCCUACUGGACAGAUACUGACGCUAAAGCGCGAAAGCGUGGGUAGCAGACAGGAUUAGAUACCCUGGUAGUCCACGCCGUAAACGAUGAUUACUAGGUGUUGGGGGUCGAACCUCAGCGCCCAAGCUAACGCGAUAAGUAAUCCGCCUGGGGAGUACGUACGCAAGUAUGAAACUUAAAGGAAUUGACGGGG
rnacentral:rRNA from 1 species